UGCCACCUUUCAUGGAUUAAUGGGAGC
rnacentral:piRNA from 1 species